UGGGGAAUAUUGCACAAUGGGGGAAACCCUGAUGCAGCGACGCCGCGUGAGCGAAGAAGGUUUUCGAAUCGUAAAGCUCUGUCCUAUGGGAAGAUAAUGACGGUACCAUAGGAGGAAGCCCCGGCUAACUACGUGCCAGCAGCCGCGGUAAUACGUAGGGGGCAAGCGUUGUCCGGGAUCACUGGGCGUAAAGGGUUCGCAGGCGGAAAUGCAAGUCAGUUGUGAAAGGCAGAGGCUCAACCUCUGUAAGCAAUUGAAACUGUAUUUCUUGAGAUGUGGAGAGGCAAGUGGAAUUCCUAGUGUAGCGGUGAAAUGCGUAGAUAUUAGGAAGAAUACCGGUGGCGAAGGCGACUUGCUGGACACAAACUGACGCUGAGGAACGAAAGCGUGGGUAGCAAACAGG
rnacentral:rRNA from 1 species